AUUGAACGCUGGCGGCAGGCCUAACACAUGCAAGUCGAGCGGAUGACGGGAGCUUGCUCCUUGAUUCAGCGGCGGACGGGUGAGUAAUACCUAGGAAUCUGCCUGAUAGUGGGGGACAACGUUUCGAAAGGAACGCUAAUACCGCAUACGUCCUACGGGAGAAAGCAGGGGACCUUCGGGCCUCGCGCUAUCAGAUGAGCCUGGGUCGGAUUAGCUAGUUGGUGAGGUAAUGGCUCACCAAGGCGACGAUCCGUAACUGGUCUGAGAGGAUGAUCAGUCACACUGGAACUGAGACACGGUCCAGACUCCUACGGGAGGCAGCAGUGGGGAAUAUUGGACAAUGGGCGAAAGCCUGAUCCAGCCAUGCCGCGUGUGUGAAGAAGGUCUUCGGAUUGUAAAGCACUUUAAGUUGGGAGGAAGGGCAGUAAGCUAAUACCUUGCUGUUUUGACGUUACCGACAGAAUAAGCACCGGCUAACUCUGUGCCAGCCGCCGCGGUAAUAC
rnacentral:rRNA from 1 species